GUAGUAAAUUAUUUGUUAGUUGACGAUGCAAUCAGCAUGCUGAUUAAGGUUGCUUGGUUUUUUACUAAACAUUAACUGAAUGAAAACGGUUAGUCCUUGUUGUUCUGCUUGGGGGGCUUUGGAGAAGCAAAUGGACUUUCAGAACAGAGAUUGUCAAUAAAGGAGUUGUAUAUCAUUGGAAAACAUGGAUUCCCAAUGGGAGUUGGCACAUGCUUCGAGCCCUGGAAAAGCCUAAGGCUGGAGCUCAUCACAAACGACCUGAUGCUACAUUGUGAUCCACACAGGAAGACUAUUGAGCCUGAACCUAAUCUUUAGUGGUGCUUCUCGGGGCUUUAGCAAUCCACCCAGUUGCUAGCAACUGCAGGACUGGGACCUAAUAAAAUAAAUGUUGUGUGUCUGUUUUGAUGGCAAAGGGGAGUGAAUGUCUUUUUUUCUUUCUUUUUCUUAAGAAAUUGGUAACUAUUUCAACUCUGUUUCAUAGCUUAUUCUCUCUUUGCCUCAGGGAAAAAAAAGUUGUUUCACUAGAUCACAUUUAAAGUUAUUUUUCUGUCCAGUCAUGUGAUAUCAGUUGUUUUGCCAGAAAUGCACAACAGGAAUGGCAUUUUCCUUUCACGAGCCUAGAGAAGAGGUGUCACAUCUGUGAGGCAUGAGAG